UACGUAGGGUGCGAGCGUUGUCCGGAAUUAUUGGGCGUAAAGAGCUCGUAGGCGGUGUGUCACGUCGGCCGUGAAAACCUGCAGCUUAACUGUGGGCGUGCGGUCGAUACGGGCAUCACUGGAGUUCGGCAGGGGAGACUGGAAUUCCUGGUGUAGCGGUGAAAUGCGCAGAUAUCAGGAGGAACACCCGUGGCGAAGGCGGUUCUCUGGGCCGAUACUGACGCUGAGGAGCGAAAGCGUGGGGAGCGAACAGG
rnacentral:rRNA from 1 species